rnacentral:lncRNA from 9 species
CUCAUGAUAAUCCAUCUGGGAAGUGAGACCAAGAGCUGUUAGUCAUGUUUAUGAUGAAGAGAAAGAAACCAAGCCUCAAAGAAGUUAAACAUCCUACCUGGGGGUAUACCACUAGGUAGCAGGCUGGACCUCCUGAAUCCUCGUCCAUAACUUUUUCUAUCAUAAUAACUGCCGUGAAGACUGGCUGGGACAUCGUGAAAUCGUUUCAGGCAUCGCCCUCAUCUCCUGUCUUCCAUUAGAGCUGCACAUAAGAUAAGCAGAUUUUGCAUGCUUCCAGGGUACCUUCCAUUCCAGUGAAUCACAGCUCCCACUUUCUUGAAGUUCUGUGGUGUCUCUAAUGUAAAUUCUUCAGCCUACAAGCUCAGUACUUCCCGUCUCCCUCCAUCUUCGUGGGAGUGAAGCGAGGCAUCGUUUAUGGACCUGAGGACAAUCCCCAAAGCUCUUCUCUGGGACCAUGGACGGAUGUCUGUUUCCAGCCCUGAGUUAUUUUUCUCUGUUGACUUCAUUUCUGCCUUCCACCUCCGGAGUGCUGGAAUGGUUUGCCAGUGGCCCCUCCUUUCCCUCCUCAAGUGGCAGUGACACCUGGCCAUCUCUCAUGCAGGAAGGUAUUAAAGCUCUAGCAGUCUUGGCUGAACGAUCACGGAGAAUGACUCACAGAAUCAAAGGAUGGAGGGAAGACAUUCUGAGCUACGUGGGGACACAGGGAAGAGGUGGUGGCCCUGCAGUUUCGACCACUUGAAGAAAUGUCUCUAGUUUGGGGUCCCACCCACCGCUGGCAGCUUUUCCGUCCCUUGGUAAGUGGACUGGAACAUCACAGCCGAUUUUGCCAUUAUGGUCUUCAAAAUCAACACCAUCAAAUCCCCCUUAUAAUAGCAGAUAGAAGUUUCUGCUCCACUCUCACUCAGGAGUGGCUAAUCUGCCCUAACCCAGUCUUCUGGACCUCCUAGAAACUGCUAUGAGGUGACCAGUCCCAUAGUUGUGAAUGGGAUUUAUCUUCUAUAAGGUGGUAUGCAUAUAAUUUACUUGGGCAUCUAGGAUGACCAGUCCUUGCUGCUCUUCAGGACAGCCCGUCACUUCCUUAUCAUCCGCCUUCUUCGUGCUCUCCAGAAGCCAUCGUUCGGUGGAAUGGUCCUUGAUUUCUUUGCAU